UACGUAGGGGGCUAGCGUUGUCCGGAAUCAUUGGGCGUAAAGCGCGCGUAGGCGGGCCUUCAAGUCCGGGGUGAAAGCCUCCAGCCUAACUGGAGAAGAGCCUCGGAGACUGAGGGCCUCGAGGGAGGUAGGGGCAAGCGGAACUAUGGGUGGAGCGGUGAAAUGCAUUGAUAUCCAUAGGAACUCCGGUGGCGAAGGCGGCUUGCUGGACCUCUUCUGACGCUGAGGCGCGAAGCCAGGGGAGCAAACGGGG
rnacentral:rRNA from 1 species